rnacentral:rRNA from 1 species
UACGUAGGGUGCGAGCGUUAAUCGGAAUUACUGGGCGUAAAGCGUGCGCAGGCAGUUCUGAAAGUCAGCUGAGAAAGCCCCGGGCUUAACCUGGGAAUGGCGGUUGAAACUACAGGACUAGAAUCUGGCAGAGGGGGGUGGAAUUCCACGUGUAGCAGUGAAAUGCGUAGAGAUGUGGAGGAACACCGAUGGCGAAGGCAGCCCCCUGGGCUGAGAUUGACGCUCAGGCACGAAAGCGUGGGGAGCAAACAGG